UGUCUGCAGUCCCCACGCUCUCCAAAAUCAAUCUCGGAGAGCAAGGCAGUGUUUUGCUGAGAUUAAGCAGAUUUGCAAAUUAGGAAGAUUAAAUGGAAAUGUAAUGAAAUGAAAAUUAAAUGUCCUUCUAUUUUUUUAUUAUUAUUUUUUAUUUUUAUUAUUUUUUUGAGAGAGACAGAGACAGAGACAGAGAGGAAGGAAGGAAAAAAAAAGGAAAAAUCGCCCUUUCCUGGGAGGUGUCUUUUGAGUGAUCCCCCAAAACGCCUUUCCCGGAGCAGCUCCCUGUCAAACUACACGCGCUCCCGUCCGGAGGGACUGAAAAGUGAUUCAAACUCUCCGGGAAGCACAGACAUUUUUAAUUCCAUCUGAUGCAGCAGCUCGGAAAGCAGCGAGAUCAGCCACCGGGGCUGCAAAGGAGGCUCUCUGCCUCCUCAAAUCCCCCAAAAGCAGAGCGGUUUUACUCAUCAAGGAAACAGCCGAGAAAAAGAAGGAUCGGAGGCACUCACCAGAGCGUAGACCGAGCUCAGCACGGAGCAGCAGAGGAUCAAACCCAGGCUGUGAUAAACCAGAUAUGAUCCCAUAUCCAAGGGGCUCCUUCCAGCAUCCACGCUCUCUCGGGGAAGUUGGAGGACGGAGAGGUCUUCCAGCGCUCCGCUUGCAGAUGAUUUCUCCUUCCCUCCCUCCAACCUCCCCCCCCCUCCACCUCACUCUCCAGAACCGGUGUUUGUUUGUUUGUCUGUUUGUUUGUUUGUUUGUUUUAGCCGGAAAGGCACAUGACGAGAAAGCCCGGUCCUUUGCUUCGCUUUCUCAUGGCUGGAGAUGCGGGCAGCUCCCGAAAGGCAGCGGAGGAGCCCAUGCGAAGAAGCGGAGCGACUUCGGCUUCGCUCAGCGCCGCAGCCCCCGGUGCUGGUUGUUUUCCGCGUGCAUCUGUCUCAGAGCAGAAAAAUCACAUCCAUAUGUCAAAGCCGCGCUCUUCUGUUUCCUUUUUAUGAGGCAGUGGGAAGUUCAAAUAAUUUCUUUGUCAAACGCAAACACACAGAAAGAGGCAGAGAGGGAGGGAGGGAGGGAGAAAGGCGAGAGAGGGGUGGAAGGGGUGGGAGAUCGGAGAGGGUGGGGGAGGCUUUAAACCACGGCUUUAUUUUUAGAUCCAGUAAUUUUAUCUUUUGGGUUUCGGAGGGGUUUGGAAAGAAAGAGAGAGAGGGAAAAAAAAAAAAAAAAGCCUUUUUUUUUCUUUUAAUUCUUUUUCUCCACUUUCGCCACACGAACGGCUCUCAGAGCAGAAAGUUACGGGGAAAAAAAAUAGCGAAAACUUGGAGAUAUUUUCCCUCCUCAUUUACUUUUUCUUCGCAAACAGCGGUGCUUUUGGGGGGGACCUUUUCCUCCUUUUUUUUUUUUUUUUUUUCCUUGCUGGUGUAUCGCCGCGCGUUUCGCCUCCACAAUAGGUUUAUUCUCCAGCCCUCCGGGUCGAAGUGUGUUUCAGUUACAAAUCGGGAUUUUUUCGCUCCUCUCUCCCCUCUCUGCCUCAGAGGAUCUGCAGUUUCAAAAAGCCGAUUGAACACGGCGUGAAAGCGUGAGGCUGACGACUCCCCCGCCUCCUACCGCCACUCUCUCUAGUCCUCGUUCCGUGCCCCGCAAGGAGGAGCCCCCCGCGGAACCCCUGGCGCAUCGCAUCCCCGCUUUCCCCCCCUCAUGUCCCCAGCACCUCGCACCCCUCGUGGAUGUCACCAGCAUCGCAGUUUCAAGGCUGGGGAUGGUGCUCCCAGCUCAGCCGGGCGCUUUCAUUCAUAAAAUGGCAAGCCAGGGUUACAAGGCAACUCUUCCCCCUCUCUGCAGACCUUUGAGAGGGGAAUGAGCUCUUCUGCACAUCCAGAUGUCUGCUGUUGUUUGUCCGGUCUCUUCCCACUGGGGGGCACAGGACUCCAUUCUCCAGCAGAUCUGUUCCAGGCAUCUCUUUAUGUCAAGGCAAAGGUUCAGUGAAACAUCAUGACUUACAUCAGCCAAAGCCUUUGAUCAGGGAGGGAAAGGUCUGACAUGGAUGGGGUUGGCAGCCACGCUGCAAGAAUCCCUCAUUGUGCAAGAAGCCAGUCCAAUGACCGACUGUCACCAAGGGCUGAUGCUUUGGACCCAGAAAGACACAAGUGGGAUGGAGAUCAGAGCCCUGGGCUUUUCCCCGCAGACCAGCAACUGGUGCCAUUUCUGGCUGAUUCUCUACUUUUCUCUUCCUAGUGAGGGUCUUUUGUUAUUUAUCAGCUCCUUUCAAAGCAACAGCCUGAGAGAUUUCACAAUACUUUUCACAUAUGGUUACUCAGCCUGGGGCUCUCCACAGCUUAGCUGUUUCAGUGAUAUUUGCACAGCACUGAGCAACAGCAUUCCUGACCUGCAGGAGAAGUGAGUGCCUCAAACCUCCUUUUCUCCAUAUACACAAGAUCUUUUUUUGCUCUUAAAAAACCCCAGACCCCUCUCCCCAUCCCUGCCAGUUGCACGGCAGACUGGAUGUCCCUGGCAGCACACUUGGGCUUGCAUCCAUUUUUCUUCUUUGUGUGUGUGUGCGUUGUCAUCCAAUGCAUGGCCAGAACCAAAGGAAAACUCAUGUGUGUGUUGUCAUCCAAUGCAUGGCCAGAACCAAAGGCAAACUCCAUUUGGGAGGUGAGCAAGGAAAACCCCUCCAAAACAGCCAGGAGCUGAAAAGAUUUGGCAAGCUUUGCAGGAGAAAACUGCCAGCAGGGAAAGACGAGGUGGAGGCAUUACUCUGACAGAAGAAGCUCUGAUUAGCAGAUUAUCACUUAAGUGAUGUUGAUCCCAGCCACGCUGCCUUCCAAAUGAGCCCUUUCACAGCUGCCAGCUGCACCACGGAGUCGUGAAUGUAAAUGAGUGGGCCAGAUCCUCUGCUGGCAUCCAUCGACGUGGCUUUGAUGGACCAUCCUGGAUCUACAACAGCCGGAGGAGUGUGGCUGUCGUGGGAGCCUGACUUGCUAUGCAGAUUUCUUUGAGAGCCUGUGGGAAAGGGCCUGAAGCUGGAUGUACUGCAGGAUAGGGCAGCAUCAACUGCACAGCUGGAGGGACCCUUGAGACUUUGACUUUUGCUGCCAAACAAAGCCAUCUUUGUAAGUAAUACCUGGUUCUAUCUUUUCAUUAUUUUUACUUUCCAUUUCAAUUACCAUCACUAAUUAAUUAAUUGGCGUGUUUAUUUCUUCGUUUUCAUUUACUUUCUAUUCCGGAGAUCAGACUGGGGCAAUCAGCCCCCACCUGAUGCCAGGCAGGGUGCAAAGCAGGAUGUCAGAACCUGGAGCCUCCUUAUUGAUAGCCGUAAGAGAUCCUUGCUGAGUCAGAUAGUGGAAAGAUGAGAUAAUUUGUUAUGUUUUUUCUUUUUCUUCAGUAAUAUUCAUUUAUUUCUUUAUUUAUUUUGCAGUUGCUGAGCUUGUAAACUGUUCCCUGGUACCGUACGCCAGCAUAUAGCAUCCUGCCCUCAUAAAGCUCUACUUAUCUCCAUCCAACUUCUUGGGCUGAGCGUGUGGGAAGCAUGUGAGGGACACUCAUGAGCAGCCUUGCAUUCUCCGAGCUGUGCUUUCCCCUGGGGGUGAGCAUUCCCCUAAGUGCACAGUCCAUUUCAGCUCUGAUAAGUCUUCAGAGGUGAUGGCCUGGAACCUGCAGAGCUGGUGGUGAGGUGGGAACAAGCUCUCUUUGUGAGGCUGCACCAGCUUGCUGGGUGUGCUGGGUGCACUGAAUGAAAUCUUUCAUUUGGUUCCUCAGAGAGUCUAGGAAGAUCCUCAGCUUUUGUCCUGAAUGGGAUUGUAGCCCAGUCCAGGGAAAGAUCACAAAUACCAAGGCUUAGGUUAUUGGAUUGAAUCUUGCUUUGUUAGUGCAACCAUGCUGUGGACUUGGACUUUCAGCCAAGGAAAGAGAGUGCUGCAGAGGCGUGAUCGAAAAGAGGAGGUGGAUCUGUAAAAAUGAUGAUGAGAGUAAUGGGGAAUGGUUAUUGGGUGCCUCUCCUAGUAAAGACAUUGGGAACACAAGACUGAAAUUUUUGGGACAGGUGAAGUGCAAACAAAAAGAGGUGGUUUUUUUUCGUUUGUUUGUUUGGUUUUUUUUUAAUAAUGGUUGUUCCAUAAGUAAUGCCUCCUAUUUUAUUAUGUUGACCUACAACGUCAGAGGUGGAUGUUGGUAGUAUGGUAGUAGAGGUUAAACCUUCCCACCAACAUCCCAUUACAUUUUGUUGCCACGUGACAGAUAGCAGUAGAAGGGUAUUGACAAAAUGAUGUCUGACACAGAAGUGCAUAUGAAGCAAAAGUGUGUCACUGAAUUCCCUCAUGUGGAAAAAAUGGCACUCACUGACAUUCAUUGAUGCUUGCUGAAUGUUUAUAGAGACCAAACAAGUGUGAGCACAGUGAGGCACUGAUGACAGCAACGUGAAAGACAAGCCACAUUCUAGACAUCCAUGCAGAUUUCACAAGUUGGCAUGCAGUCUCUUGUUCAUUGCUGGCAAAAAUUCAUUGAUAUUGGUAGUGGCUAAGUUGAAGAAUAGAGCUUUGUAGCUGAGAAUUUGCUCUAUCAAAUACUUCUAUUGUGCUCCUUGUAUCUGUUGUAGUUUCCAUGGAAAUAAAUGGGAGGCAUUACUUUCAGAGUCAUCUACAUAUAUUGAGAAGGUGAUUUUCUAUUCUCACAGAAGGCAUACUUGACCUCUGGCCACGUCCAUCCAAUCUGACAGACUGGUCUUCGGAGAAUGGUGACCAAGAAUAAGCUCCAUGUCCCACAUGCCACCUGUUCAUCUGCACCGCUCCCUCUCCAGCAGCUCAUGGGCCAUGCCCAGCCUAUGUGUGACACCUCUCUGGCUGCUCAGAUGGAAAGUAAGAGCUUGGAGAGUGAGGACAGCAUGGAGUUAUGGAAGACAUGGCUACAAGAGCAUUCUUUCUCCAUCUCCAUGUGCUUCUGAAGGACCAGUCUGAUUCUGGCUCCUGCCAAGUUAGGAUAUGCUAUGAUUCUGUGAACACUUUUUGCAGCAAGUCAGCCAUAAGAAACAACAUACUCUCAGACAAUCAAGCCUCCAAAUUAAGGUGGGGAGACUUGUUGUGAAGGAGAUGGUUUUUUUUUUCCUACUGUAGAAGGGAUGUUCAAUGCUAUAGUGACAAGGAACAAUUCUUCAGCCUUAGACAGCAGAAAGAAGAAACAUAAAGAGACUGUACAGUUCUUGGGACACCGAGACAACUAUCUACGUGCUUUGUGGAAGCAGAGACAAGUAUGAGAUUUGGCUUUCUGGGCUAUGAGGGCACACAGCUGGCUCACAUCCAGCUCCCAUCCACCAUUUAGAUAAGAUACUAUUGCUUUUAAUAAAGACAAGUCAAAGAUCUUCUCCUAAGUGCUCUUAAAGAACUCCAGCAUUGUGUCUACAAUAAUCCAUCCGCCUUAAAGGAUCCAGCAGUACAUCACCACCAGUGGAUAUAAGAAGUAAUUAGUCAUCAUUUAGGGAAGUAAGAUUUAACAGUUAUUUUGUUGGCAGAAGUGCCGUGAUAAAAAUGGUACUCUGAAAGUUAUUUGGUAUUUCUCAUUGUUGCCAGAGUUCUGAACAUUUUGAUAGGAUGAACAUAGACUUCGGUAGGAAAGUUGUGGAUUUUUUCCCCUCCAUUUAGUAGAAAUAUAAAUGUUACAAAAUAAAUAAUGAUAGAAUAUAUGUGUAUAUAUUUUCAAUGCAUAUUUUAAAAUGCAUAUGAAAUGCAUUUUUUAAAAUAUUUUGUUCAAAUAUUUUUACUAAUGUUGUAUACCUUGCAUCUGUGAAGAGGGUUAUCCCUUAAACAUCCUUUCUUCAGACAGUACUGGGAUUCAUCCUCAGGCCCCGUUAUCUUGCUCUACGUUUCCUAGAGUCCAUCUAUAUAAUAAAUCAGAAUACUGCAUGGUUACACAUCGUAAUUAUUUUUUAAAAUUAUUUUUUAUUUUUUUGCUGAUUGGGGAAAUGGUGAAAACUGGUUUUUGCAUAUUUCAACAAUGUUACUCAGCCAAGUAAAAGAACAAGGGAGCAGAAUGGAAGAGAAAUGAAGAAAUGGAAGGAAGGAAGGAAGGAAGGAAGGAAGGAAGGAAGGAAGGAAGGAAGGAAGGAAGGAGGGAAGGAGGGAAGGAGGGAAGGAAGGAA
rnacentral:lncRNA from 1 species